AGAGUUUGAUCCUGGCUCAGAUUGAACGCUGGCGGCAUGCCUUACACAUGCAAGUCGAACGGCAGCACGGGAGCAAUCCUGGUGGCGAGUGGCGAACGGGUGAGUAAUAUAUCGGAACGUGCCCAGUCGUGGGGGAUAACGCAGCGAAAGCUGUGCUAAUACCGCAUACGAUCUCUGGAUGAAAGCGGGGGACUCGCAAGGGCCUCGCGCGAUUGGAGCGGCCGAUAUCAGAUUAGCUAGUUGGUGGGGUAAAAGCCCACCAAGGCGACGAUCUGUAGCUGGUCUGAGAGGACGACCAGCCACACUGGAACUGAGACACGGUCCAGACUCCUACGGGAGGCAGCAGUGGGGAAUUUUGGACAAUGGGCGCAAGCCUGAUCCAGCAAUGCCGCGUGCAGGAUGAAGGCCUUCGGGUUGUAAAAUGCUUUUGUACGGAACGAAACGGCGAGC
rnacentral:rRNA from 1 species